UACGUAGGGGGCUAGCGUUGUCCGGAAUCAUUGGGCGUAAAGCGCGUGUAGGCGGUCUGUCGCGUCUGCUGUGAAAAUCCGGGGCUCAACCCCGGACUUGCAGUGGGUACGGGCAGACUAGAGUGUGGUAGGGGAGACUGGAAUUCCUGGUGUAGCGGUGAAAUGCGCAGAUAUCAGGAGGAACACCGAUGGCGAAGGCAGCUCGCUGGGACGGUACUGACGCUGAGACGCGAAAGCGUGGGGAGCAAACAGG
rnacentral:rRNA from 1 species